CCUACGGGAGGCAGCAGUGGGGAAUAUUGCGCAAUGGGCGAAAGCCUGACGCAGCGACGCCGCGUGAGGGAUGAAGGUCUUCGGAUCGUAAACCUCUGUCAGCAGGGAAGAACGGUCACUGUGCUAAUCAGCAGUGAAUUGACGGUACCUGCAAAGGAAGCACCGGCUAACUCCGUGCCAGCAGACGCGGUAAUACGGAGGGUGCGAGCGUUAAUCGGAAUUACUGGGCGUAAAGCGCUCGUAGGCGGUAUGUCAAGUCAAGGGGGAAAUCCCCGCGCUUAACGUGGGAACUGCCUUUGAAACUGGCAAACUGGAGUGUGUGAGAGGAUAGUGGAAUUCCAGGUGUAGGAGUGAAAUCCGUAGAUAUCUGGAGGAACAUCAGUGGCGAAGGCGACUAUCUGGCACAUAACUGACGCUGAGGAGCGAAAGCGUGGGUAGCAAACAGGAUUAGAUACCCCUGUAGUC
rnacentral:rRNA from 1 species